GACGAACGCUGGCGGCGUGCUUAACACAUGCAAGUCGAACGGAAAGGCCUCUUUCGGGGGGUACUCGAGUGGCGAACGGGUGAGUAACACGUGAGUAACCUGCCCUUUACUUUGGGAUAACUUCAGGAAACUGGGGCUAAUACCGGAUAGAAGCUCCUGCUGCAUGGUGUGGGUUGGAAAGUUUCGGCGGUUGGGGAUGGACUCGCGGCUUAUCAGCUUGUUGGUGGGGUAGUGGCUUACCAAGGCUUUGACGGGUAGCCGGCCUGAGAGGGUGAGCGGCCACAUUGGGACUGAGAUACGGCCCAGACUCCUAAGGGAGGCAGCAGUGGGGAAUAUUGCACAAUGGGUGGGAGCCUGAUGCAGCAACGCCGUGUGCGGGAUGACGGCCUUCGGGUUGUAAACCGCUUUCGCUCAUGACGAAGCUUUGUGUGACGGUAGUGGGUAAAGAAGCACCGGCUAACUACGUG
rnacentral:rRNA from 1 species